rfam:Trichobilharzia regenti genome assembly, scaffold: TRE_scaffold0005963
AUCCAGCUGGGAGACGAGUCCCAAAUAGGACGAAAUUCGCAUUAUCCUGGAU